rnacentral:tRNA from 3 species
GGGCUUUUAGCUCAGUUGGUCAGAGCAACCGGCUCAUAACCGGUCGGUCCCAGGUUCGAGUCCUGGAAAGCCCA